rnacentral:rRNA from 1 species
UACGUAGGGGGCAAGCGUUGUCCGGAUUUAUUGGGCGUAAAGAGCGUGUAGGCGGUUUGGUAGGUCCGCUGUGAAAACUCGAGGCUCAACCUCGAGACGCCGGUGGAAACCAUCAGACUAGAGUCCGGAAGAGGAGAGUGGAAUUCCUGGUGUAGCGGUGAAAUGCGCAGAUAUCAGGAAGAACACCCGUGGCUAAGGCGGCUCUCUAGUACGGUACUGACGCUGAGACGCGAAAGCGUGGGGAGCGAACCGG